rfam:Moniliophthora roreri strain MCA 2952 kmer90.96567, whole genome shotgun sequence.
AGCAGCUGUACCAUCCACAAAAUAACAAUCCCCUCGCCUUUUACUAGGGGAUUCCGUGGGGGCGGUAUACUUAACGCUGCGUGAACAAUCUUUGGGCUCACGUCUCUUCGAGAC